rnacentral:lncRNA from 1 species
AUUUAUCUACACUAAAAAGGGUGAGGGGGGCUAAACCUCAUAAUGGGCUAGCAAUAUUGCAGUUCAAAUUCUCACUAAGUGGCUACUAGUUCAGCUACUUGAAUUUUUUUCUCUUGUUCUAAAUGAAUCUAAUAUUGUUUGGGCCCAAGAUAACACUUUGGCCCGAGCCUGGAGUUGCUUUCGGUCCAAUGAGUAUCAAGAAUAUUCUCUGCCAUGGGCCGAGCUCAGUAGGG